AGAUCGACAGUUUAUUCAUUAGUUAUUGAGGUUUAAAUCUAAUGUAAGAAUUACUAGGAUUUGGAUAGGAAUUGGUUUAGAGUUAGGGUUCGGUUUAGGGUUUGGAUAGGAUUUGAUUUAGCAUUUAGCAUAGGAUUUAGGAUUUGAUUUAGGAUUUAGGAUUUAAGUUUUAUUUAGGAUUUGGUUAUGGUUUGAUUUAGGAUUUGAUUUAAGAUUUAGGAUUUGAAUUAGGAUUUGAUUAGGGUUUAGUGUUUGGUUUAGAGUUUGAUUAGGGUUUAGGAUUUAACUAGGGUUUGAUUUAGGAUUUAGGAUUUGAUUUAGGAUUUAUUUAGAGUUUGGUUUAGGGUUUAGGGUUUGAGUUUAAGAUUUGAUUAAGGUUAAAUUUAGGAUUUUAUUAGGAUUUAUUUAGGAUUUAAGAUUUAAUUAAUUUUGGCUUGAAGUUUGAAUGAAGUCCAAUAGGAUUUUAACUAGGAUUAAAUUAAGAUUGAAUUGAGAUAUAUUUGAGAGAUAUUUGUAAUCAUUCUAAUAUUUCUUUAAGAUUUCUUAUUGUUUCUUUGAAAUUUCUUUGAGGUUUUUUUGAAUUUGAUUAAGCUUAUUUAGCAUUAUUGUGGUCUAAUUAAAACAUUGUUAGUAUUCUAUUAGAAUUAGGAUUUUGUUAUUGUAAUUUCCAUUCUCCCUUCCACAGCCAAGUGCUCGGUGCAUUCUCAAGCAAGACUUCACGUAUUACGACAUUGUGGUAUAUUAACAAUUGAGAAAGGUAAUGAUAAAAUUGUGCUUCAAAUGUACACUAUCCAAUAUCACGGAGAAACUCAAGUUGCUAAUUCAGAAUUCACGUCGGAUUGUGACGAUGAGUCUAUAGAAGAAGAAAUUGGUGCAUCUGACCUAAUU
rnacentral:lncRNA from 1 species